CCUACGGGAGGCAGCAGUCGGGAAUUUUGGGCAAUGGGCGAAAGCCUGACCCAGCAACGCCGCGUGAAGGAUGAAAUCCCUCGGGAUGUAAACUUCGCAAGAACGGGAAGAAUAAGUAGGGGACAAUACCCCCUAUGAUGACGGUACCGUUUGUAAGCUCCGGCUAACUCCGUGCCAGCAGCCGCGGUAAUACGGGGGGAGCAAGCGUUGUUCGGAUUUACUGGGCGUAAAGGGCGCGUAGGCGGCCAGCACAAGUCAGUUGUGAAAUCUCCGAGCUUAACUCGGAAAGGUCAACUGAUACUGUGCGGCUAGAGUGCGGAAGGGGCAACUGGAAUUCUUGGUGUAGCGGUGAAAUGCGUAGAUAUCAAGAGGAACACCUGCGGCGAAGGCGGGUUGCUGGGCCGACACUUACGCUGAGGCGCGAAAGCCAGGGGAGCGAACGGGAUUAGAUACCCUGGUAGUCCUAGCCGUAAACGAUGGACACUAGGUGUGGGGGGAGUCGAAUCCCUCUGUGCCGCAGUUAACGCGUUAAGUGUCCCGCCUGGGGAGUACGGCCGCAAGGCUAAAACUCAAAAGAAUUGACGGGGGCCCGCACAAGCAGCGGAGCAUGUUCUUUAAUUCGAUGCAACGCGAAGAACCUUACCUGGACUUGACAUGGUGCUGCAAGCGCACGGAAACGUGUGACCUUCGAGGGUGCACCACAGAUGCUGCAUGGCUGUCGUCAGCUCGUGUCGUGAGAUGUUGGGUUAAGUCCCGCAACGAGCGCAACCCCUGUGGCGUGUUGCCAUCAUUAAGUUGGGGACUCACGCCAGACUGCCGGUGACAAACCGGAGAAAGGUGGGGAUGAGGUCAAGUCAUCAUGGCUCUUACGUCCAGGGCUACAAACGUGCUACAAUGGCUGAUACAAGCGUUUGCUAGACCACAAGGUGGAGCGAAAUCUCAUCACAGUCAGUCUAGCUUCGGAUCGCGUCUGCAACGUCGGACUGCAGAAGGUGGAAUUGCCUAUAAAUCCCGGGACAGCUGCCCGCGAGACAGUACCUUCCCGG
rnacentral:rRNA from 1 species